UAACGCGUGAGGAACCUGCCUUUCAGAGGGGGACAACAGUUGGAAACGACUGCUAAUACCGCAUAAUAUAUGUUUGUCGCAUGGCAGAUAUAUCAAAGAUUUAUCGCUGAGAGAUGGCCUCGCGUCUGAUUAGCUAGUUGGUAGGGUAACGGCCUACCAAGGCGACGAUCAGUAGCCGGACUGAGAGGUUGGCCGGCCACAUUGGGACUGAGAUACGGCCCAGACUCCUACGGAAGGCAGCAG
rnacentral:rRNA from 1 species